CUAGAAAUCUUUUCCUAGGGUUAGGUUUUCGUAUUAUCCAAGAAGCAUCUUUUUUUUCUUUCUCAAACCUUAAGGUUCUCAUCUCCUGACUUAUUAGACAAGUGGAAGUUCGAUUGUAAGUGUUGUAACUAUCCAAGCUUUCCAGCCAAUAACAACUUCGUAAAUACAACAAUAUCCAAGGAUGUUUUAGACAACCUCAAUAUCGGUAUCUGUAUUAAGAGUAUUGGCUAUAAAUAAAAAGGGUAUAGGAGAGGCAAUGGCCAUGUAAAACACAAUAUUUUUCAGUAUGAAAGCUUUAGUGAUAGCUAUUCUUAUAGCUACCAUUGCCUUCUCUCCUUUAUCCAUGGCAGCUCGAGAAUUGGUCGGCUAUGGAAAAGAUAGCGUUACCGUCAAUAUCCCAUCAACCGGCGAUGCAUCAUCUAGAAACCUGCCUCCUACCUAUGAUCCAGGAACUGGCAGGAGAUGUCGCAGUCGCCAACGAGAUUGUCCUCCCUAAAAGAAAAAAGCUUGUAUCCCUUGCGAGCGUGGCUGCCGUCGCCCUUGAAAAUGAAAGAGUAGUUUGAUUUGGGUCCAUCUAGUGGUAAAAGCUGUGAGCUCAAAGCUAUCUAUUACUUUCAUUUCCAUUACCGAUGUAAUUAUAUGGUCGUUGGAAAUUAAAUAAAAGCUCCGAGGGAGCCAUGGCAGAUAUGCAUAUGCUACAGGUUUCCUCUAGUACUCUUGCAAUCCUGUAAAUGUUACUUAUGUACGUUGUAGUCUUUUAUUCGGAAUUAUGUAAUCUCUGUAUGCACAAUAAAAUUCUCAAUUAGUCUACAA